GUCACUAGCAGGUGUGUAGAUGAUGCUGAUGUCACUAGCAGGUGAGGAGGAGCAUGAUGUCACUAGCAGGUGUGUAGAUGAUGCUGAUGUCACUAGCAGGUGUGUUGAUGAUGCUGAUGUCACUAGCAGGUGAGGAGGAGCAUGAUGUCACUAGCAGGUGUGUAGAUGAUGCUGAUGUCACUAGCAGGUGAGUAGAUGAUGCUGAUGUCACUAGCAGGUGUGUAGAUGAUGCUGACGUCACUAGCAGGUGUGUAGAUGAUGCUGAUGUCACUAGCAGGUGUGUUGAUGAUGCUGAUGUCACUAGCAGGUGUGUAGAUGAUGCUGAUGCCACUAGCAGGUGUGUAGAUGAUGCUGAUGUCACUAGCAGGUGUGUAAAUGAUGCUGAUGUCACUAGCAGGUGUGUAGAUGAUGCUGAUGUCACUAGCAGGUGAGGAGGAGCAUGAUGUCACUAGCAGGUGUGUAGAUGAUGCUGAUGUCACUAGCAGGUGUGUAGAUGAUGCUGAUGUCACUAGCAGGUGUAUAGAUGAUGCUGAUGUCACUAGCAGGUGAGGAGGAGCAUGAUGUCACUAGCAGGUGUGUAAAUGAUGCUGAUGUCACUAGCAGGUGAGGAGGAGCAUGAUGUCACUAGCAGGUGUGUAGAUGAUGCUGAUGUCACUAGCAGGUGAGGAGGAGCAUGAUGUCACUAGCAGGUGUGUAGAUGAUGCUGAUGUCACUAGCAGGUGAGGAGGAGCAUGAUGUCACUAGCAGGUGUGUAGAUGAUGCUGAUGUCACUAGCAGGUGUGUAGAUGAUGCUGAUGUCACUAGCAGGUGUGUAGAUGAUGCUGAUGUCACUAGCAGGUGAGGAGGAGCAUGAUGUCACUAGCAGGUGUGUAAAUGAUGCUGAUGUCACUAGCAGGUGAGGAGGAGCAUGAUGUCACUAGCAGGUGUGUAGAUGAUGCUGAUGUCACUAGCAGGUGAGGAGGAGCAUGAUGUCACUAGCAGGUAUGUAGAUGAUGCUGAUGUCACUAGCAGGUGUGUAGAUGAUGCUGAUGUCACUAGCAGGUGUGUAGAUGAUACUGAUGUCACUAGCAGGUGUGUAGAUGAUGCUGAUGUCACUAGCAGGUGUGUAGAUGAUGCUGAUGUCUAUAGCAGGUGAGGAGGAGCAUGAUGUCACUAGCAGGUGUGUAGAUGAUGCUGAUGUCACUAGCAGGUGAGGAGGAGCAUGAUGUCACUAGCAGGUAAGUAGAUGAUGCUGAUGUCACUAGCAGGUGAGGAGGAGCAUGAUGUCACUAGCAGGUAUGUAGAUGAUGCUGAUGUCACUAGCAGGUGUGUAGAUGAUACUGAUGUCACUAGCAGGUGGGUAGAUGAUACUGAUGUCACUAGCAGGUGUGUAGAUGAUGCUGACGUCACUAGCAGGUGUGUAGAUGAUGCUGAUGUCUAUAGCAGGUGAGGAGGAGCAUGAUGUCACUAGCAGGUGAGUAGAUGAUGCUGAUGUCACCAGCAGGUGUGUAGAUGAUGCUGAUGUCUAUAGCAGGUGAGGAGGAGCAUGAUGUCACUAGCAGGUGUGUAGAUGAUGCUGAUGUCACUAGCAGGUGUGUAAAUGAUGCUGAUGUCUAUAGCAGGUGAGGAGGAGCAUGAUGUCACUAGCAGGUGUGUAGAUGAUGCUGAUGUCACUAGCAGGUGAGUAGAUGAUGCUGAUGUCACUAGCAGGUGUGUAGAUGAUGCUGAUGUCUAUAGCAGGUGAGGAGGAGCAUGAUGUCACUAGCAGGUGUGUAAAUGAUGCUGAUGUCACUAGAAGGUGAGGAGGAGCAUGAUGUCACUAGCAGGUAUGUAGAUGAUGCUGAUGUCACUAGCAGGUGUGUAAAUGAUGCUGAUGUCACUAGCAGGUGAGGAGGAGCAUGAUGUCACUAGCAGGUAUGUAGAUGAUGCUGAUGUCACUAGCAGGUGUGUAAAUGAUGCUGAUGUCACUAGCAGGUGUGUAGAUGAUGCUGAUGUCACUAGCAGGUGUGUAGAUGAUACUGAUGUCACUAGCAGGUGAGGAGGAGCAUGAUGUCACCAGCAGGUGUGUAGAUGAUGCUGAUGUCACUAGCAGGUGUGUAGAUGAUACUGAUGUCACUAGCAGGUGUGUAGAUGAUGCUGAUGUCACUAGCAGGUGUGUAGAUGAUACUGAUGUCACUAGCAGGUGUGUAGAUGAUGCUGAUGUCACUAGCAGGUGAGUAGAUGAUGCUGAUGUCACUAGCAGGUGUGUAGAUGAUGCUGAUGUCUAUAGCAGGUGAGGAGGAGCAUGAUGUCACUAGCAGGUGUGUAGAUGAUGCUGAUGUCACUAGCAGGUGAGGAGGAGCAUGAUGUCACUAGCAGGUAUGUAGAUGAUGCUGAUGUCACUAGCAGGUGUGUAGAUGAUACUGAUGUCACUAGCAGGUGAGGAGGAGCAUGAUGUCACCAGCAGGUGUGUAGAUGAUGCUGAUGUCACUAGCAGGUGAGUAGAUGAUGCUGAUGUCACCAGCAGGUGUGUAGAUGAUGCUGAUGCCACUAGCAGGUGUGUAGAUGAUGCUGAUGUCACUAGCAGGUGAGUAGAUGAUGCUGAUGCCACUAGCAGGUGUGUUGAUGAUGCUGAUGUCAUAAGCAGGUGACGAGGAGCAUGAUGUCACUAGCAGGUGUGUAGAUGAUGCUGAUGUCACUAGCAGGUGUGUAGAUGAUGCUGAUGUCACUAGCAGGUGUGUAGAUGAUGCUGAUGUCACUAGCAGGUGUGUAGAUGAUGCUGAUGUCAUAAGCAGGUGACGAGGAGCAUGAUGUCACUAGCAGGUGUGUAGAUGAUGCUGAUGUCACUAGCAGGUGACGAGGAGCAUGAUGUCACUAGCAGGUGUGUAGAUGAUGCUGAUGUCACUAGCAGGUGAGGAGGAGCAUGAUGUCACUAGCAGGUGUGUAGAUGAUGCUGAUGUCACUAGCAGGUGAGGAGGAGCAUGAUGUCACUAGCAGAUGUGUAGAUGAUGCUGAUGUCACUAGCAGGUGACGAGGAGCAUGAUGUCACUAGCAGAUGUGUAGAUGAUGCUGAUGUCACUAGCAGGUGACGAGGAGUAUGAUGUCAAUAGCAGGUGUGUAGAUGAUGCUGAUGUCACUAGCAGGUGAGUAGAUGAUGAUGCUGAUGUCACUAGCAGGUGUGUAGAUGAUGCUGAUGUCACUAGCAGGUGAGGAGGAGCGUGUUGUCACUAGCAGGUGUGUAGAUGAUGCUGAUGUCACUAGCAGGUGAGGAGGAGCGUGAUGUCACUAGCAGGUGUGUAAAUGAUGCUGAUGUCACUAGCAGGUGAGGAGGAGCAUGAUGUCACUAGCAGGUGUGUAGAUGAUGCUGAUGUCACUAGCAGGUGAGGAGGAGCAUGACGUCACUAGCAGGUGUGUAGAUGAUGCUGA